CUGUCGGACAUGCAGGGAAGAUCAAGUCCAGCUGAGUGCCUGCACGGCCACCAAGAACACACAGUGCGGCUGCAAGAAUGGCACCUUCUGCUCCCCGGACCAUCCGUGUGAGAUGUGCCAGAAGUGCCGGUCCAGGUGCCUCGAUGGUGAGGUGGAGAAGGCUCCCUGCAC